rnacentral:rRNA from 1 species
AACGAACGCUGGCGGCAUGCCUAACACAUGCAAGUCGAACGAGACCUUCGGGUCUAGUGGCGCACGGGUGCGUAACGCGUGGGAACAUGCCCUUAGGUUCGGAAUAACUCCCCGAAAGGGGUGCUAAUACCGGAUAAUUUCUUCGGACCAAAGAUUUAUCGCCUUUGGAUGGGCCCGCGUUGGAUUAGCUAGUUGGUAGGGUAAAAGCCUACCAAGGCGACGAUCCAUAGCUGGUCCGAGAGGACGAUCAGCCACACUGGGACUGUGACAGGGCCCAGACUCCUGCGGGAGGCAGCAGUGGUGAAUAUUGGACAAUGGGCGAGAGCAUGAUCCAGCCAUGCCGCGUGAGUGAUGAAGGCCUUAGGGUUGUAAAGCUCUUUUACCCGGGAUGAUAAUGACAGUACCGGGAGAAUAAGCUCCGGCUAACUCCGUG